rnacentral:sRNA from 1 species
GGAUAUGAGGGUGAUCUGGCUGUGACAUCUGUCACCCUAUUGAUCACCAGGGUUGAUUCGGCUGAUCUGGCUGGCUAGGCGGGUGUCCCCUUCCUCCCUCACGGCUCCAUGUACGUCCCUCCCGAAGCUGCGCGCUUGGUGGAAGAGGACGACCAUCCCCGAUAGCGGAGGACCGUUCUUCUUGGUCAAGGGUAUACGAGUAGCUGCGCUCCCUGCCAGAGCCUUCAGACAAGCUCUCAAAAUGGUGAUU